rnacentral:rRNA from 1 species
UACGUAGGGGGCAAGCGUUGUCCGGAUUUAUUGGGCGUAAAGAGCGUGUAGGCGGCUGGGUAGGUCCGUUGUGAAAACUCGAGGCUCAACCUCGAGACGCCGAUGGAAACCCUCCAGCUAGAGUCCGGAAGAGGAGAGUGGAAUUCCUGGUGUAGCGGUGAAAUGCGCAGAUAUCAGGAAGAACACCCGUGGCUAAGGCGGCUCUCUAGUACGGUACUGACGCUGAGACGCGAAAGUGUGGGGAGCGAACAGG